GGGGAGAUAAAGCCGGGGAUUGCAAAGGACCUGGCGCUGGAAGAGGGCCCGCGCCUGAUUAGCUAGUUGGUGGGGUAAUGGCCUACCAAGGCGACGAUCAGUAUCCGGCCUGAGAGGGCGGACGGACACACUGGGACUGAGACACGGCCCAGACUCCUACGGGAGGCAGCAGUGGGGAAUUGUUCGCAAUGGGCGCAAGCCUGACGACGCAACGCCGCGUGGAGGACGAAGAUCUUCGGGUCGUAAACUCCUGUCGAGCGGGAAGAACGCUUCCCGGGUGAAUAAUCCGGGGAGGUGACGGUACCGCUAAAGGAAGCCC
rnacentral:rRNA from 1 species